rnacentral:rRNA from 1 species
AGCAGCCGCGGUAAUUCCAGCUCCAAUAGCGUAUACUAAAGUUGUUGCAGUUAAAAAGCUCGUAGCUGAAUUUCGGGGUCAGUAGGUCGGUCGUGCCACUGGUAUGAACUGGUUUUACUGAUUCCUCCCUCUUGAAGAACUGUAAUGCCAUUAAUUUGGUGUUGCAGGGAAUCAGGACUGUUACUUUGAAAAAAUUAGAGUGUUUAAAGCAGGCUUUAGCUUGAAUACAUUAGCAUGGAAUAAUGAAAUAGGACGUUUGAUCCUAUUUUGUUGGUUUCUAGGAUUGACGUAAUGAUUAAUAGGGAUAGUUGGGGGCAUUAGUAUUCAAUUGUCAGAGGUGAAAUUCUUGGAUUUAUUGAAGACUAACUACUGCGAAAGCAUUUGCCAAGGAUGUUUUCAUUAAUCAAGAACGAAAGUUAGGGGAUCGAAGACGAUCAGAUACCGUCGUAGUCUUAACCAUAAACUAUGCCGACUAGGGAUCGGAUGAUGUUAAUUUUUUAAUGACUCA